rnacentral:rRNA from 1 species
UACGAAGGGGGCUAGCGUUGCUCGGAAUUACUGGGCGUAAAGGGCUCGUAGGCGGCCAACUAAGUCAGACGUGAAAUCCCUCAGCUUAACUGGGGAACUGCGUCUGAUACUGGAUGGCUUGAGUUCGGGAGAGGGAUGCGGAAUUCCAGGUGUAGCGGUGAAAUGCGUAGAUAUCUGGAGGAACACCGGUGGCGAAGGCGGCAUCCUGGACCGACACUGACGCUGAGGAGCAAAAGCCAGGGGAGCAAACGGG